CCUACGGGAGGCAGCAGUGGGGAAUCCUGCGCAAUGGGCGAAAGCCUGACGCAGCCAUGCCGCGUGAAUGAUGAAGGUCUUAGGAUUGUAAAAUUCUUUCACCGGGGACGAUAAUGACGGUACCCGGAGAAGAAGCCCCGGCUAACUUCGUGCCAGCAGCCGCGGUAAUACGAAGGGGGCUAGCGUUGCUCGGAAUUACUGGGCGUAAAGGGAGCGUAGGCGGAUAGUUUAGUCAGAGGUGAAAGCCCAGGGCUCAACCUUGGAAUUGCCUUUGAUACUGGCUAUCUUGAGCGUGGGAGAGGUAUGUGGAACUCCGAGUGUAGAGGUGAAAUUCGUAGAUAUUCGGAAGAACACCAGUGGCGAAGGCGACAUACUGGCCCAUUACUGACGCUGAGGCUCGAAAGCGUGGGGAGCAAACAGGAUUAGAUACCCUGGUAGUCCACGCUGUAAACGAUGAGUGCUAGUUGUCGGCAGGCAUGCCUGUCGGUGACGCAGCUAACGCAUUAAGCACUCCGCCUGGGGAGUACGGUCGCAAGAUUAAAACUUAAAUGAAUUGACGG
rnacentral:rRNA from 1 species